GCCUAAUACAUGCAAGUCGAACGAACUCUGGUAUUGAUUGGUGCUUGCAUCAUGAUUUACAUUUGAGUGAGUGGCGAACUGGUGAGUAACACGUGGGAAACCUGCCCAGAAGCGGGGGAUAACACCUGGAAACAGAUGCUAAUACCGCAUAACAACUUGGACCGCAUGGUACGAGCUUGAAAGAUGGCUUCGGCUAUCACUUUUGGAUGGUCCCGCGGCGUAUUAGCUAGAUGGUGGGGUAACGGCUCACCAUGGCAAUGAUACGUAGCCGACCUGAGAGGGUAAUCGGCCACAUUGGGACUGAGACACGGCCCAAACUCCUACGGGAGGCAGCAGUAGGGAAUCUUCCACAAUGGACGAAAGUCUGAUGGAGCAACGCCGCGUGAGUGAAGAAGGGUUUCGGCUCGUAAAACUCUGUUGUUAAAGAAGAACUUAUCUGAGAGUAACUGUUCAGGUAUUGACGGUAUUUAACCAGAAAGCCACGGCUAACUACGUGCCAGCAGCCGCGGUAAUACGUAGGUGGCAAGCGUUGUCCGGAUUUAUUGGGCGUAAAGCGAGCGCAGGCGGUUUUUUAAGUCUGAUGUGAAAGCCUUCGGCUCAAACCGAAGAAAGUGCAUCGGAAACUGGGAAACUUGAGUGCAGAAGAGGACAGUGGAACUCCAUGUGUAGCGGUGAAAUGCGUAGAUAUAUGGAAGAACACCAGUGGCGAAGGCGGCUGUCUGGUCUGUAACUGACGCUGAGGCUCGAAAGUAUGGGUAGCAAACAGGAUUAGAUACCCUGGUAGUCCAUACCGUAAACGAUGAAUGGCUAAGUGUUGGAGGGUUUCCGCCCUUCAGUGCUGCAGCUAACGCAUUAAGCAUUCCGCCUGGGGAGUACGGCCGCAAGGCUGAAACUCAAAGGAAUUGACGGGGGCCCGCACAAGCGGUGGAGCAUGUGGUUUAAUUCGAAGCUACGCGAAGAACCUUACCAGGUCUUGACAUACUAUGCAAAUCUAAGAGAUUAGACGUUCCCUUCGGGGACAUGGAUACAGGUGGUGCAUGGUUGUCGUCAGCUCGUGUCGUGAGAUGUUGGGUUAAGUCCCGCAACCAGCGCAACCCUUAUUAUCAGUUGCCAGCAUUAAGUUGGGCACUCUGGUGAGACUGCCGGUGACAAACCGGAGGAAGGUGGGGAUGACGUCAAAUCAUCAUGCCCCUUAUGACCUGGGCUACACACGUGCUACAAUGGAUGGUACAACGAGUUGCGAACUCGCGAGAGUAAGCUAAUCUCUUAAAGCCAUUCUCAGUUCGGAUUGUAGGCUGCAACUCGCCUACAUGAAGUCGGAAUCGCUAGUAAUCGCGGAUCAGCAUGCCGCGGUGAAUACGUUCCCGGGCCUUGUACACACCGCCCGUCACACCAUGAGAGUUUGUAACACCCAAAGUCGGUGGGGUAACCUUUUAGGAACCAGCCGCCUAAGGUGGGACAGAUGAUUAGGGUGAAGUCGUA
rnacentral:rRNA from 2 species